rnacentral:rRNA from 1 species
GAUGAACGCUAGCUACAGGCUUAACACAUGCAAGUCGCGGGGCAGCAUGGGGGUUGCUUGCAAUCCCCGAUGGCGACCGGCGCACGGGUGAGUAACGCGUAUCCAACCUGCCCUUCACCACGGGAUAACCCGGCGAAAGUCGGACUAAUACCGUAUGUUGUCCAUUGACGGCAUCCGAUUUGGACGAAAGGCUUGGCGGUGAGGGAUGGGGAUGCGUCCGAUUAGCCAGACGGCGGGGUAACGGCCCACCGUGGCUACGAUCGGUAGGGGUUCUGAGAGGAAGGUCCCCCACACUGGAACUGAGACACGGGCCAGACUCCUACGGGAGGCAGCAGUGAGGAAUAUUGGUCAAUGGGCGUAAGCCUGAACCAGCCAAGUAGCGUGCAGGAUGACGGCCCUAUGGGUUGUAAACUGCUUUUAUGCGGGGAUAAAGUGGCCCACGUGUGGGCUUUUGCAGGUACCGCAUGAAUAAGGACCGGCUAAUUCCGUG